rnacentral:lncRNA from 1 species
CUACCUUAUAUCUAUUAUCCCCUCCCCAACACUUUGGUUCCUUCUUUGUUUCUCCACUAAUACAGACUCAUCUGAAGGUUGCAAACCAUCCAAGUGUUCUGAGCCCCGCCAUCCUUUCCUCCUAAAUGUGUGAGAGAAGUGACAAAAGGACUGAUCUGGCUCAACUUCAUCAUCACCUAACUGAGUGACUUGAGGGGCCAGUCACAGCUUCCAAAUGACCUAGAACUGCCUGGUGUCUAUUGGAUCUACUUCUCAUCUCUGAAGGUGUGAACACUUAUCAAAAGGAUUCACAAGUUCCUGACUGAGUUUCAGAGGGUGUGAAUUCGUUAAAGAACUCAUUCAGAACAUCUGAAGCCCUAACUAUUCCCUGUCCCAGACUUUUCCUAGUGAGCCAAAACUCCCAGACAAGCCUAAAGCCUGAACUUGAAGGAGGAUUUCAUCUAAUACAUCUAUACAAGGAACCUCAUAGCCAACUGGGAACGAUUUCACCAAGUCUAAAGAUUCC